rnacentral:other from 1 species
UAUUCUCUGCGGUGUACGAGAUGCAAGGCAGGAAAAGCUUGAGCCUAGAGCUUUUAUUCGGGAGCUAAACCGUAGCGUUGUUGCGCGUAACCGCCGUUCCGCGGCGGCGAACCUGAUACGCUACCCGCUGCUCCCACUUGGACCGCUUGGUUCAAGUGAACUGUCUGGCAACGGCACGGCGGAGAUGCC